CCCUGCCCCCCUCUCACACACACGGCUCAGAGGCCCCUCUGCAGAACGCCCCCCUCACGACGCCCCCCUCACGGCUCAGGAUAACGAGCCGUGAGGUUUGGAGCGUCUCAUCGAACACGCCGAUUCUCCCAGCCAGCCGUGCCAGGGUUCAUUCUCCCGAGCGUAAGUAAGUAAGUAAGUAAGUAAGUAAGUAAGUAAGUAAGGACGCUGUGGUGUGGCAACAGCAGCUACCUCUGCUAACAGAUGGCAAGGAACAAUGAGCAGAACAUAUUAGCACUGCUAAUGCCAAAUGCCACAAGGUUAAAGAGAGGGUGACUCUUGUUAUUACGGAAAGAGGAAGUCAUUUUCUCCUUCCAAAUGUCUUGUGAGGAACAGCAGAUGACAUACGUAUAUAUGUAUAUAUAGAGAGAGAGGGAAUAUUUUCAUUCAUCACAGAAAUGAAAAAACAUCUGUGUGUGGAUGGUGGGUAAGUGACAUUAAUCUUCUAAUUUUCCAAACGAUGAUAUGACCCUGUUAGUACAAGGCUGACAGGCAUGCAGUCUAACCAAGAGACUGUAAAGGUUUAUAAAGCACACUAGACCACAGUAUACAGACCAUACACACACACUAGACCAUAGUAUACACACCAUACACACACACUAGACCAUAGUAUACAGACCAUACACACACACUAGACCAUAGUAUACACACCAUACACACACACUAGACCAUAGUAUACACACCAUACACACACACUAGACCAUAGUAUACACACCAUACAGACACCAACUGUAACAGAUUACACUGAUGUCAGUCAUCGUCCACACCUGCCCAGACUGUCUGAUGCUCUGAGGUCUGGGUACUGGGUUCUGAGGUCUGGGUUCUGAGGUACUGGGUUCUGAAGUCUGGGUACUGAGGUCUGGAUACUGAGGUCUGGGUUCUGAGGUCUGGGUACUGAGGUCUGGGUUCUGAGGUCUGGGUACUGGGUUCUGAGGUCUGGGUACUGAGGUCUGGGUACUGGGGUCUGGGUUCUGAGGUCUGGGUACUGAGGUCUAGGUACUGGGUUCUGAGGUCUGGGUACUGAGGUCUGGGUACUGGGUUGUGAGGUCUGGGUUCUGAGGUCUGGGUACUGGGUUCUGAGGUCUGGGUACUGGGUUCUGAGGUCUGGGUACUGAGGUCUAGGUACUGGGUUCUGAGGUCUGGGUACUGAGGUCUGGGUACUGGGUUCUGAGGUCUGGGUUCUGAGGUCUGGGUACUGAGGUCUGGGGUCUGGAUACUGAGGUCUGGGUACUGAGGUCUGAGGUCUGGAUACUGAGGUCUGGGUACUGAGGUCUGGGUACUGAGGUCUGUGGUCUGAGGACUGUCUAAGGGGGUGGGUGUUUGUUUCUGUGUGUGUGUGAAGCGGCAUACCUUAAAGGACAGUGAAAGUGUGGUGGAGGAGAGAGUGUGUGUGUGGUGUGACUAGCUUGCUGCCAAUUCCAUGUCUGUCUUGUCUCCUGCUAACCCUCAGGUCUCUGUGUUAGCAUGCACACACACACACACACACACACCCUCAGGUCUCUGUGUUAGCAUGCCAUAGCAGUGCCACUGAAUCCAUUUGACUGGUUGAGAAAUUUGAAUUUAAAUAGGAGGCAUUUGCAUUGACAAAGUACAGACUCUUGCCUCAGGAAAAACAAUGUGUUGUAUAUUAAUGUAAUUUCAUAGCAUUUUUUCAGUUUUGCCAUUCAGAAUGAAGGAAUGCAAGGUAGACUACAUAACAUAAAAUGCAGCUCAUAUCAUACGGAACAGUGUAUUACAAAUCCAUGCGAUUGAGGUAGAAGGCUAGAAGGCCAGAUUUGUUUCUGCUUUGAAAUGCAACACAAACACCCAGGUGACGAGAAACUCAGAAGGUCAUCCAGGCCAGCAUCCACAGCAUUGCUUCAAUAUUUAAUCAAGUGGUCUUCCACUGGUGUUGCCUUACCGGAAAACACCAGAAGCCACCUCAAAGACCCCCCC
ensembl:lncRNA